rnacentral:tRNA from 1 species
UUUAUUGUGACAGACUAAAUGUAAUGAAUUUAAGAUUCAUAAAUAAAAUUUAAAAAUUUUCAAUAAAA